CCAUGCUUGAUGCUCAUUGGCUACGCUGAGCAUUGCCCCACCCCGCGCUUGCCGCUCAUUGGUUGGCGAGCUGCGCGGGGUGGGGACCUCUAGGAGCGGAGGCGCUGUAAGAUGGCGCCGGGCUGAGGGGCUGUGGGGUUUUUAUCGUCAUUUCAGCGGCUUGGGUGGGGGGUUUGUGCCCUCAGGACGUCGCUUAGGCUUUUCGAGGAGUCAUGCCAAGCUCCUGCUGCCAGCACACGCCUACCUGCCGUGCUUGCCACGUCAGGGAACCGGUGUGGGGGCGUUGUUCCUGUUGUGUGUUGUGACAGAAAAGCACUGAUGUUCUCAGAGGGUGCUGUGAGCGAAAAGAAGGUGACAUUGGAGCAUUGCCACCAUAGCACUAGGAAUUCCUGAGGAGUAUAAAUCCAAGAGCAGUGUCCCAGCUUCCUUGUGUGACUGUGUUUGGUGCCACUCACGUGCAAGAGUUCAGGCAAAUGGAGUUACAAAGCUGUAGUCCACAGCAUCACGUGGCUGCUGCUCUCCUGCUGUCAAAGGAAGAAGGCCUCCACAAGGAGUACCAGUAGCACAGCAGUGAGUGACCCACGAACUCCCUGAUGUAUCAGCCUAUAGCCUGGGAGGGGAGCACGUAUACAGUCCUACCUUGGGCCAAGAAGGAGAUGUACGUUGGGACUCUCACCAGGACAAGGAGAGCUUCCCUUUUUUGGGGGUGUUUUCUCUACUGCCUCAACUAUAUGCAAUAAACCACAUCAAGCAGAGUCCCUGCAGCCCACAGUGGUAAAAAUAAAAUGGUAACCUCACUCCAUUGGACGAGCCCUCUUUGUAAUGUUUCCUGCAGCCAGGUCUCUGCAAGGGAGGUGGGAGUUUCCACUCACUCUUGGGAGCUGUCUCACACUUACUGGGUUAUAAAUAGCAAGGCGAGGUACCUGACUCGAGGUGUUAAAUUGCACUCUGGCAGCCUGAUACCUAGCAGUCAGAUGUUGUAGCACAUUUAUAAGCUCCCAGUUUUCACUGCAUGGAGUCUAAAAUGCAAACUAGCAAUCAUAAAAUGUGAGGUGUGGUUAAAAACAAGAUCUGGGUAGUUUUUAUCUCUGCAUAUCUUUACAUCCUCUGUUAUUUACAUUGUGUUUACAAUGAACAUUCCCUGCUGUUACAGAUUCCAGGCAAAAGCCCUUCUCACUCAGCACUACAGGUGGAAGCAUCCUGCAGCUGGUCUUAUGCUCCGAGGCCAAAAGCCAUAUUAAAACCAUAUUCUUAA